rnacentral:ncRNA from 1 species
GAGAGCCAAAUGAAUCGAAAGAUUCAUAUUUGGUUCGGGAAGGGAUCAUGGAAUUUUUGAAAUGAAAAAAAAAAAUGAAUGUAAAGAUAAUCUACUUUCAU